rnacentral:misc_RNA from 1 species
CCGAGUUAUACAACUCAUCAACCCUGUGAACAUACCUAUAACGUUGCCUCGGCGGGAACAGACGGCCCUGUAACACGGGCCGCCCCCGCCAGAGGACCCCUAACUCUGUUUCUAUAAUGUUUCUUCUGAGUAAACAAGCAAAUAAAUUA